AUGUUGACUCUGACAGUAGUAAACUGCUGCAUCUUCAGCCUGAACUCCACUGAUGGAGCUUUGGAGUCUGUCCAGAUUUCUGUUGAUACCAGAAAAUGUUUGUCCAGAGUGCACGAGGUUUUUCUACGGCCACUUAGUGAGUUUGUAUCACUGUGGUACACUUUUGGUGGAGGAACCAAACUCAUCAUUGACUUGGGUGUGGUGAGACCCACCCUCACUGUCCUCCCUCGAUCCAAAGAUGAAGAGAAGCAGUGCAGUGCCACUCUCGUGAGUCUGGCCACCGGGGGCUUCCCCUUAAACUGGAAGCUGGGCUGGAAGGUGGGGGGCACCAGAACAUCUUCAGGUGUGUCAAGCAGCCUGGAGGUCUUGGGGACAGACGGCCGCUACAGCUGGAGCAGCACCCUCAGCCUCUCUGCAGACCAGUGGAGGAAGGCGGGCUCAGUGAGCUGUGAGGCCAGUCUGAGUGGACAGAGCCCUGUCACUCAAACCCUGGACCCUGACCACUGCUCAGAGUAGAGCUUCAGCAACACUUCCUGUGUCCAAAGAAUACUAUGUGUUUCCUCUGUCUUACUUGUUAUCAUCUAUCAUCCACCUGGGCCUUACACAGAGUUUCUCUCUGAUUUCUCAGA